AGCAGCGAAAGGAGAGCGACGUGCUUGGUGUUCUGGGACUGUAGUCGUAUUGUUCGGACUGUGAAGAAUAAUUUGAUCAGUUACUGCAGUCCCACUUACCACGCUGUCAACAUCCGACAUAAUUGAGGUAUACAUCGUAGUCAAUGUCGUAUUCGCUGAUGUUGCAGUUGACGUCCCCGACUCCAACAUACUGGACAGAUCUGUGCCUUGGAUACCCUGAGAAUAGAAUAACGGAGCUCAGACGAAGUUAUCUUGGUGUUAAAAUGGGACUAAUGUGAAUACUCGGAUGAUGCAAAGUACGCCAAAAGACAAUGGAUGUUUUUUUACACAUCGAGAUAAAGUUGUGAAUUUAUAUUUAAUUACGGUACAAUCGUGCCAAGUCGUAAUUGUUUGUUAACGUCUUGAUAAUAAGGAUUGUUUGAAGGGACAGCAUGUGAAAUCGAGUGUUCAGUACUGAUACUUCGCACCUUAAUUUUGCUGGAGCUGAAAUUUUUUAUAAAAAUUAACUGAAUCGAAUCGCUUAAUCCCGUGCUACGAAGCUCGAGCGACAAUAUUUAAUUUCGUUGGAAAAUAUUGCUCGUCUCAAUACAGAAAAAUACCGUUAAGUAUCCUCCGCCCAUUGCCAGCGGGGUGAAUUGAAAAAUCUCGGGACCAAUAUUAUUAUAUUUUGAUAGAAGUUUGUGACCACGAUACAUGUACAGUAAUGAAGGUCCUCGACGCGAAGGUCAAAUUGUUUUUUGUCGGUGACGUUUCGAUUCGAGCUUCGUCGGCCAUCUUCAGACAACAAAACUUUGAACCCCAUUUUAUAUUGCGUAAAUGGCAACAUAGCAAAGAAAUUCAUUAGUUUAUGCUCUGUUAAUUUUAUCCACGUGUUCUCUCAAUUUAAAACGAUGUAUAAUCGUUUACAAGUGAAACAGUAAAUUCCAUUAUACUGAAAGUUAUUAUAAUAAUCCCUAGAGAGAACGGGAAUCAGUUGAACGGUACAUCGGAUGACUUCACAGCAAAAAACCACAAGUCCGUAAUACAUUUUGAUAUUUUGAUACAUGUUAAAAAUUGAAUGUAAAUAAACAAAGUAUCAGUACUGCAAAGAAUACGGCAAUGUUUAGUAACGAAAGAAACGUUUCUCGCAUUUUCCGUGAAAAAUAACUGGCAUUAAUACUACAUUGAUUUCCAAGUAAGUGUUAAUAAUUCAUUUUGCAUAGUUUCAUAGUUCUUCUUUAUCCAAAUCAAGGUUCAUCGUUAACAUUAUUUUAUUUUACUCACCGUAACAGCGACCAGGAGGCACAAAGCAAUUGCGAAUUUUGCCAUCUUGAACGAUUUGGAUUGAGUAGAAUAGUUGGUAGUUGAAUUGAAACAAAGUUGUGAUACGAUAUGCCGAAAUUCGCGCUCCUUAUAUACCUACGCAAUGAAACCAGCGUAAUCGUGUGCAAAUUAAACACUUGUGUAAACCCCGGAAUAGGAGGAUGAACAGCGAAAAGUAUGGAGUGGUUAAAGCCACGACAGGAAGUUCUCUAAACUGCACUAAAGAUGUAAAAAAUUGACUGCUCAUUUUUUGGGAAUGAGUAAUCUUUCACAAGGCUCACCAGAUAUUUGGCCUAGGAAACGAUUCAAUUCUAGAAGAAUAAUGGAACCUGUUCAGUAUAAAAUUCUGUGAUUUAGGAAUAUCGGAGGUAUCUCAGAAAAAAAAUCGAGAUGUACAGAGUAUUUCAACACAGGUAACUAAUUUCUUAAGUCUUAUUGCACUUUUCUUUUCUAGGUCGAUCACAUUAGUCUACUUUGUUGUUUUGACUUUUCAUUUUUCAGCUCUGCAAUAACUAUCAACUUUCUUAAGAUUCCUGUUUUGAUCGGUAUCAAUCCAUUUUGGAUUUCCCAUGACUCGUAUGGAAAUUCCCAGCUUUGUUUCAGCCAUUUUAGAUCAUAUUGUAUCUAAGCCUGUGCGAAUCUUGGAAAAGUAGAAGACCACCAAAAUUCAUUUACCUUCUCGACAUUUCGCAAAAUAAACUCGUGUACGCCAUUUGUGUAGCAGUUGAAUGUUUGCUUCGUUAGUAUUAUUUCUACAUCGAGUUACGUCGUAGUGAUAAAUGAAGAAAUUAAGAUAAGGUUGAUGCUCCAAAUUACGACUGAUCGUCAGAUGGUGCAAGAUAAUAGUAAUGAAUUAAUGAUUCUGAUGCAUUUCUUUUCCGCGAAAAGUAGAGAAAUAUAUUGCAUUCCAGCAAUUUAUUUGACGAAGGUAACAAAAACUUUUAUUUCCCAUUUUUUAAAAAAUAUACAUAUAUUUAUUGGGCUAGAACGAAAUUUUUCUUAUCGAUGUUAGUUAUCGUAGUA
rnacentral:lncRNA from 1 species